rnacentral:rRNA from 1 species
CCUACGGGAGGCAGCAGUGGGGAAUUUUGGACAAUGGGCGCAAGCCUGAUCCAGCCAUGCCGCGUGCGGGAAGAAGGCCUUCGGGUUGUAAACCGCUCUUGUCAGGGAAGAAAAGCCUCGGGCUAAUACCUUGGGGUGAUGACGGUACCUGAAGAAUAAGCACCGGCUAACUACGUGCCAGCAGCCGCGGUAAU